GGGGGGAUAGCUCAGUUGGGAAGAUCUGAGCUUGGUUUACCUUCGGUGUCAUCUGAAAGGUCGUGGGUUCGAAUCCUGCUCCCCUCA
rfam:Sordaria macrospora k-hell, WGS project CABT02000000 data, contig: 2.385